GUGGGGAAUUUUGGACAAUGGGCGCAAGCCUGAUCCAGCCAUGCCGCGUGAGUGAAGAAGGCCUUCGGGUUGUAAAGCUCUUUCGGCCGGGAAGAAAUCGGCGACUCUAACAUAGUCGCUGGAUGACGGUACCGGACUAAGAAGCACCGGCUAACUACGUGCCAGCAGCCGCGGUAAUACGUAGGGUGCGAGCGUUAAUCGGAAUUACUGGGCGUAAAGCGUGCGCGGGCGGUUUUGUAAGACAGAUGUGAAAUCCCCGGGCUUAACCUGGGAACUGCGUUUGUGACUGCAAGGCUAGAGUACGGCAGAGGGGGGUGGAAUUCCUGGUGUAGCAGUGAAAUGCGUAGAUAUCAGGAGGAACACCGAUGGCGAAGGCAGCCCCCUGGGCCUGUACUGACGCUCAUGCACGAAAGCGUGGGGAGCAAACAGGAUUAGAAACCCCGGUAGUCC
rnacentral:rRNA from 1 species